rnacentral:rRNA from 1 species
AGAGUUUGAUCCUGGCUCAGGACGAACGCUGGCGGCGUGCCUAACACAUGCAAGUCGAACGGGACUCAGCCCUUCGGGACUGAGUUUAGUGGCGAACGGGUGAGUAACGCGUGAGGAACCUGCCUUUCAGUGGGGGACAACAGUUGGAAACGACUGCUAAUACCGCAUAAUACUUUCGAGCGGCAUCGUUUGAAAGUCAAAGAUUUAUUGCUGAAAGAUGGCCUCGCGUCUGAUUAGCUGGUUGGUGAGGUAACGGCCCACCAAGGCGACGAUCAGUAGCCGGUCUGAGAGGAUGAACGGCCACAUUGGGACUGAGAUACGGCCCAGACUCCUACGGGAGGCAGCAGUGGGGAAUAUUGGGCAAUGGGGGAAACCCUGACCCAGCAACGCCGCGUGAAGGAAGAAGGCCUUCGGGUUGUAAACUUCUUUUACCAGGGACGAAAAAGAUGACGGUACCUGGAGAAAAAGCAACGGCUAACUACGUGCCAGCAGCCGCGGUAAUACGUAGGUUGCAAGCGUUGUCCGGAUUUACUGGGUGUAAAGGGCGUGUAGGCGGAGAUGCAAGUUGGGAGUGAAAUCCAUGGGCUCAACCCAUGAACUGCUCUCAAAACUGUAUCCCUUGAGUAUCGGAGAGGCAAGCGGAAUUCCUAGUGUAGCGGUGAAAUGCGUAGAUAUUAGGAGGAACACCAGUGGCGAAGGCGGCUUGCUGGACGACAACUGACGCUGAGGCGCGAAAGCGUGGGGAGCAAACAGGAUUAGAUACCCUGGUAGUCCACGCUGUAAACGAUGAAUACUAGGUGUGGGAGGACUGCACCCCUUCCGUGCCGCAGUUCACAC